AAAUAACAGUGUCUGGGGUGGUUCUUCUUCUUCACUUUCAAGCGGAAAGGAACUUAGUCUCAUGCAUUGAUAUAUAUUCUUGUUUGGUCUUGGAGAUAAAAAAGAAAGAGAAGAGAGCGAGCUCUUGUAUAUAUUCUUGUUCUUGCUGUUGUUUUUGCUAAAUAAAACAAAAAUUACUUAUAUAAGCCACCGGCUAUGGCUACAAGAGGACUGGUUUCCUAUUUGAUAUCGGGUUUUUCUCUGGCUGUUCUCUUUGCAAUCGUCUUCACCGACCAAAAUGGUCGAAACCCAUCAAACUCCACCCUCCUCAGUUCUCUGUACGUGUCAACUACCAGAAAAAUUUGGCCAGAAUUGGAGCUUAAUUGGAGACUAGUGUUGGCUACGGUGAUAGGAUUUCUGGGAUCGGCUUGUGGAACUGUGGGUGGCGUUGGAGGAGGAGGCAUUUUCGUACCUAUGCUUACUUUGAUUGUUGGAUUUGAUACCAAGUCUGCUG
rnacentral:misc_RNA from 1 species